GAGAGCGUGAACACAGCAGCUCCGCGUUCGGCUCGUAGGCAGCUGUGUUUUACAGAGUGAAGCCGUGCCAGGCCAACAAGUGGCUCCUGAGCAGGGAAAUAACACUCUGACGGCGCGGGUGGAUGGAGAGAGACACGGAGAAGCAUGAAGAACAGAGGAAAGCUGUUAUAACACUGACCUUCGAGAAGCAGGUGAGUUGGAAAGACAGCCGGGCUGAGGAUUGGGCAUCUGUGUCAAGAGCGUGAUCAAAUAUUUACUCCACCUUUAUGAUGCUGUAGACCAGAGUAAAUGAGACUAUUAUGGGGCUUAAUCUGGACACUUACUUCCAGGAAGAUCCCCCUCACAAGGAUCUGCUGCAAACAUAUCUCCACGUUUCAUGGAAAAUACAGAAAUAAUGAUGUGAGGAUGUUCGGGUUCAAACUGAAGUUUCCUCAGUGAAAGACAACAUGGAAGCGCCAACAGCAGCUUCUGCAUUCACUCCGCUUCCUCAAAGUGUCAGGAGUUGCUUGGCAACAGGCACAGAGGUGAAUCUCAGUGUUAAAAUGGUGGCAUCGCUAAAGCAAAGAAACCGACCUCCCCGUACCCGAAGACGACUCUGAUCUGCGGGGUCUGAAUAAAAACAACAACAACAAAAAAAACCGAAACACAAAAGAGCCGCAAACCGCCGAGGCAGUUUGACUCCGAACGCAGGAGACCAGGCGAAGUUUUCUGGAGGAAUACAUUUGGGGUUCUUGGUGGAGGCGGUUUCAGUUUCAUCCUGCAUGAGUUUGAAUAUAUUAACCCGACUGUUUUUUGAGAAUGAUGCAGUUAUAGAGAGGUGGAGUGAAAACGCUGCUGCUGCUGCUGCUGCUGCUGCUCACACAGAAGUCUGAUGGUGUUUGUAGAAAAGUUUAAUCCCUCAGAUUCAAACUUUUUCAAACUUUUUUGUCUCAUGAGAUCUUGUCUGAAACGUUUGAUGAGAUUGUUAUAAUAGAUAGAGCUUGGAUUAAAAUUAUACAAAGAGGAAACCCUUUAUGACGAUGAUCCAGAAAUAACAGCAACUCGUUUUUUUGAUCUUCUUUUUGGAAAUCUUGGACGCUGCAUCCUCGGCUCUAACUCAACAAACAUUCAUCCUCUUACUUCAUACUUUCAACUCUCAGACACAACUGUUUCAUCUCAGUGGGUUCUUGCUUUUUCAUAUCCUUGUAGCCCAGAAAAUCUCUAACCCGAGCAGAGGUCCAGAUCGGCCACGAUAAAAAGGAUUCAGUGGAAAGGAUUGAAAGGGUUGACAUUUAUAUUCACUUGUCGUCUUUUACAGUAAUGUUGUGCUGCAGAAACAGUGGUUUCUUGAGGAUUCAUAUUUACUAGGGAGACCAUACGCCCUCUUUUACUCGGACAUGUCCUCUUUUUGGGGGCUGUCUGGCCUUUGUCUGGGGGAGUUUAGAAAAUCCUUCAAAUGUUCGGGGUUGUGUUUGGAAGUUUUGAGUUUGUGUCGCGUGGACUUGCUGAGUUAGAAGCGCGUAAAAAAAAAACACUCGAUUCAACCCGAAAAACUCUCAAAAUUAACCAUGCGUGACUCCAUGACUCCGCCCCCGCAUAGUCAUGUCCUCUUUUUAGGGAUUCAGAAUAUGGUCACCCUAUAUUUACAAGUAUUCUUGUUUCUGUAACCGGUAACUCCAAAAUGUUGAGUACGGUUGGGUAUCAUUUGGAUUUGACCGAUUCCAAGUCCAAUUCUGAUUCUCAAUAUCAAUUCCUGCUCUAAACGAUUCUCGAUUCUGAUUCUUAGAGAUGAGUCAACAGGUCACAGUCUUUGGGUAUUGUUAGGAUUUUACGGAUUCUAAGUCUAAUUCUGAUUCUGAUUCUCAAUAUCGAUUUUGUUCUAAACAAUUCUUGAUUCCGAUUCUUUGAGAUGGAAGUCAACAGGUCAAAGUUUGAAAAAGCCUGAACACGGGCCGAGUUUUAGGGAUUGGUAGUCUAUAACUUUAGCAGAUUUCUUAAGAAUGAGACAACCGUAAUUUUCACUGAAUGGAUUCUGUUUGCGAUGAGGAGUUGCUGGCUGAUGAUGAAGGUUGACUGUCUGAAGUGGAGGAAGCAGCGGGAGCAGGAGAGCGACUGGACUUACUUGGGACGUUUCACCAUCCCAAGUAAGUCCAGUUACCCUUUCAAUGAAGAACUGGAAAUCAUAGAUUGUGCAUCUUCAGUUUUAAGCAUAAUGCUGAACAAUAUCUCCAGAUGAUGAAGGUUGACUGUCUGAAGUGGAGGAACAAACGGGAGCAGGAGAGCGACGCAACGAGUUAAACACAGUUCGCUCCAUGCAGGCGAAGGUGUUUUGUCAUGUUUGUCGUGGAUCCUCCUUUGGCAGAAAUUGUUUUUUUGCCGAUGUUGUUAUGUUCUACUCCGUCCUUCUCUUUCAAAACCAGCGUUUUUUUGCGGUCCAUGUUUAGACGAGUGAUGUUCUUGCCAGCAUAUGCCUAGUGGAGUAAUAGACGCCCCGAAAACAAACUAGUGCGGACCCUCGGAACUGGAAAAAAGAAUCGAAAUUCAGAAAUCUGUGUAGUGGUUACAAAACCGGACGGUAGGAGCCGGUUCUCGGGACCAAACCCUAGUGUUGAGGCAUCUUUUGACUAUUUUUUAAUUUACUUACACCAAAUGAAUUACUGUAGUCAUAUUUCCAAACAAUCAGCACAAGGUCUCUCAGCUCCUUCCUCCUCAGAUCUAGCCGACAAUCUUGCAGGAUGAAAAGAGGUUUAAAAACCACGCUGAAGUCAAAGUGAAGCUACUGUACGCUGCUAAUAAAAAAAGUCUUUAUGUUGCCUCCAUGGAGACCGUGACAUAUUGAAUUUGAGUUGUUAACCUUUAGUUGAAGGUGCUGAGAUUUUCUCUCGCAGCACAAAGACUCGUCCUUGGAGCGUUCGGCAGAACUCCAGCCUUAGAAAAUGCGGUCUUUUCAUCUCAUCUGUGCCGAGCUGCCGCUGAAUGGAGGUCCUUUCAGUCAUCCUCACAUGCGAAAGCACGCCCCGGGUGUGAAUCAAACACGCAUUUCAGCCGGCCGAUUUCAAUGAGGACAGGCAGAGAUCCAGAUAGGACUCUGGACAAAUGACCGUCCUCAUCAGCUGAAGCUUAAGAUGACGGAUGAGACCUGAGCUGAUCAAUCAGCUCCAAAACGACGCCGUUCAUCAUCUUUUGUCAUUCGAAAGAAAGAAGUGUCAUCCAUCAACUCGUCCGACCACAUUCAUCAUCUAUUUUUAUAUUUGGUGCCAUUACUACCCCCCAAAAAAAAACACCAUUUCAGAAGAUGAUUGUACAGAUCAAACAACUUUAAAAAAACAAAUCUGGGUCACCAUCAUCCCGAUGUCGGCCUCAGCAGUCGCUCUCGGAUGUGAAUGCGUCUGCAGGGAGAUUUGUAGCGUUUGAAGGCGACGGCUGAGCACGUAACCUUCCUCCCUUCUGCUAACCUGAUGGGAGUCAUUACUGCGGAUUGACAUAUGGGUAAGCUAUGCUUCAGGAGGAAGCCAUCUGGCACAAUGUUUUCUGGCAAGCCUUCGCGUUUACAGCACACAAGACGGUCUUUUUAUAUCCGGGGAAAUAAUGUUCAUUUGGCAGCUUCAUUGCUGAACCCGUACCUGUGUGUACAAAUUAAAUCUCUUUGAAAACAUCAACUCAGGAAAACAGAAUUAUCUUGUUUUUAGUGUUUUUGACAUUGUGUUAACAGUGUAUGGCAUUUUAAGAAGAUCAUUAAAGUAUUCAGGGUCAGUUUGGCGGGACGAUGUCCUGCAAAGAUAAGAAAAAAACAAAGAGUGGUUUUUAUUUGCACUUUUUCAACUCUGACCCCAAUCCUCAAAAAAGUUGGGAUGCUGUAACGUGAUAAUUUGCACAUCAUCUCGAACUUAUAAUCAAAUAUUUAUUUAUUUUAUAUUUAUUUAACUGAACUGUUUUGUGCAAAAAAAGAAGUUGAGACAAGGACCACAAAAAAACCUGGAGCAACAUCUCCAAACGAAUCAGGGUGGAUGUGCAGCAGGUUGGUCACAUGACUGGGUUUGAAACAGUCGUAAAGUCGGAGUUGACUGGUCGACUUAUUGGUCACGUCAAUUUACAGUCUAUGGUUAAUUUCAUCCGGAGGAACGUACCAAGUGCUGAUGGGGGUGUUUUCAGAGCACCCCCUUUUCACAGGUAACAGCUUGUCCCAGAACACCCCCUUGUUUCCAUCGUUUUUGGAUUCGCCCAACCCACUGGAGACCGGCUGGAGACAGGAAGAUUGAAGAGCGUCCAAGUUAAUUAACAUCCGGUGGUUUGCUGAAUAUGUUUAUUUGUGUUUAAUUGCCUGCGAGCCGCGCUCCGCCGAGCCACGCCCCCCACCUCCCACGAAUAAGUCGAUUUUUGGUGGAAAAUUUCAGGGUUUUACUCGACCAAGCAUUUCUUCCCCCUUCGUAGUUCAAAGGGGGAAGAGUGGGAAGAGUUUCACCGCACUUAUACGGCAAAACCAGCGACCUCUCCUGGCCGAAGAUGUCCUGACAAGUCUGUGAAGGCUCUGUUAAUGCUGAACAAUAUCUACAGGUUUAGAAGCAUCAGGACUCUGUAGUUGGAGUCACCGUAUUGGCUGAAUAUCACUUGGGCGUAGUAUCACACUCUUUUGGAAAAGGCAACUGGAUUUAGGCGAAACGUCCCAAGUAAGUCCACUUGUCCUUUCAACGAAGAACUAGAAAUCAUAGAUGCUGCAUCCUCAGUUUUAAACAAUAUCUCCAGAUUUAGGAACAACAUCUGCAUCCAUCCAGACGAAGACUUUUUCAGGGAAGACCUUCAUAUGAUCCCAAACCAUGCUACUAAGAGCCAUAGAUUUGUUUUUACUGCGUAUAUCUAUCUUUAAAUGAUAAUGAAGCUAACUGGCUCACUAUCAUUAAAAGCUAAAAUGAAGAUGAUGGUAAUAAUAGAUUAAACUCUUUGUUUUAACAACCCUGUCAGCCAAAAUGAUGGAGUGAAAGUGUCGUGAAUCCAAACGUCUGACGGCUCUGAAGAAGAAAACCAAACUUACUAAUUAUAACACUGAAUAAACAGCUGUGUUACAUAUUCAUAGAGUGUGUGUGUGUGUGUGUGUGUGUGUGUGUGUGUGUGUGAGUGUGUGUGUGUGUGUGUGUGAGGUGGAUAAAUCAUCUGUCUCUUCAGGAGGAAAAACUCAGCAGGAUAUCAGGAUCAGAGUUUUCGUUCGUGUUUUAAAUUUACACUUAAGUUCGUUCAGCUUCUUAAAAAAGCGUUUCUCCGUCUGCAGAUCAGAGGUUAGACUAUCCUUCAUGCCGCGCUCCACCCGAUCCUUCACUGUCACUCUAUUACAUACAUGGCUGACCAUGCCUGACAUAUAGGUCUGAGCGGAGGGCCGGCACAAACAGAGCAGCGAGUAAACACCUGAAGAAGAGAGUCUAUACGGGCCUCAUGGUGCGGUGUUUGUCUGUGGAGCUAAAGGAAAUGAGUCCGCCUCUCCUCCUGGUUAAAGUUUUUCUUUGAACGAGUGGAAACUGUGAUCACGAGGAGACUCACGCUGAGCUCCAGCUUAGCAGUUGGUGUUUAUGACUGCUGAGUAAACACUGUGCUUAUUGAGAAGAGCCCACACACCUGGUCAGUUCGGGAUAAAUAAAACCUGGCAGAUGGUUUUCGAUGGCUGGUUGUGUCCUUUCUCCCUCCACACAGCUGCUGCUCUGUGUUCCUGUUACUGCUGCUGUCGAACUUCAGUCGCCUUAAACCUGCACCCUCCCUUUUUUUAAUGAUCGGUGUGUAUCAACAGUUUGGACUAGCUUCAGUCGAUUUCUGCAGGUUGUAAAUAACUUGGUGGACACUUAUUUCCUGUUGAAUGAACGCUCAGAGUUCUGGUUUUCAUGUCCGGUUGUUUUUCUGUGUCUGAAAGAAAGAGUUUAUUUAAAGACGGCAAAAUUAUCGGUAUCUUCUGAGAGAGAAGAUAGUUUGGGUGUUGGUUUUUGUGACUCUAAAAACCAACAUUUCAGCUUUUCCCCUUAAAGUUUAAUUCCCACUAUUUACUCCUUCAUCAUUUUUGUGCAGAAAAUAAAACAUAUAUGGAAGUAAGGAAAAGCAAACGCCCCUGAAAAAUCCUCUCACAUAAUCUCUCUCAUAGGACACCCUUAAUCUGGAUCUCCAUCUCCCUCUCUCUCCUCUUUAACACUAAAUUUCCACCGCAUCCGGAAUGACUCCGCCACUGAAUGGCAGCAAUUUUUGCCGUCCGCCGAUUCCCAUUGGAUGCGUUUGUCGGGAGAAUUUCUGGCUAAUUUCAGACACCGGGAAUCGCGAGAACUUACAUUCAGUCACACAAUAACGAGUUGUCUCUAUAAGGACGGCCUCAUAGACAUAUAAGCAGUAGAUUGUGUCCUUCCAGAGGAGGAAAUCUACUUCUAGACUUCUAGAAUCAGCAUCUUCUCAUCCAUGGUGUCAUCGGGGUGAAAUGACAUCUGAAAACCUGCCAACGUUUGCAUGGUGUGAAAUACGAUCCUCCUGAAACAGGGAGUGUUUUAUUUUGAAAAGAAGCUGAAUGUUUUAUUUUGUGUCUGUGCCGGACUUCCUUUCCAGCACGGGUUAAUCUGUGCUGAAUUUAUGCGGCAUGCUGCGGGGUCUGGAAAAAAUAGAACUCUGGCGAUCGGCUGCAGAGUCCGCUGAAUUGCAGGGGCUGGAAAUAAGCCGGUGGAAUUUGACGCUUUAACUUGGAUGGAAACGAUCAGCGGCGAUCGGCGCCGACGGCCUUUUCCCCGCCGUUCUAGAUGUGGUGGAAAUCAGGGGUAAACCCAACUUAGUCUCGACUGAUGUUUGUCUAACAACAGUCUGGUUCUGCUCGAGGUUUCUGCCGUUAAAGGAAGUUCUUCCUCUCCACUGUCACUUGAAAAGUCAUGAUGCGGAUUGUGAAAAACGAAAAAGUCAGGAUUUGUCAGGUCUGUCAUCAAGAGGAGUAAAGACACAGUUGGGUGUUUUGUUUGUUAAAUGGAGGUUUGAUCGAUUAUUUCUGAUGCUUUUCAGGAAGUUUUGAGAUCUAAAAGCUGAUUGGCUCACAGAGGAAAACCUGGACAUCAACAAAAAUUGGAUUUCCCAGUCUGCUUCAUCCAGAGAAACAUUUUGAGC